CCAGGCGCCGUCAGUGUGUGAAUAUUUACCCAGCUUGCCGCCGCGGGCGGAGAACUAGCAGCUAUGCCCUGGGAUCUUGCACGCAUGCGUGUAGCUGGACGGUCAGCGUGCGAGUGACGUCACGUGCGCGCCCGUCUAACUUCUUCCUAGGGUUGUUUCUAAACUGCCGCAGCAAGUUGUCAAAUUCCCUAGUUGAAUUUGCUUUGGACAUCAGUGUGAAGAAGAACUGAUAUGCCACUUGAAUUAAUAAAGGAAGUCAAUGGGGUGCCUGAAGUUCAGCCGCUGAGUAAAUUACUUAAAGUAGAUUUCGGAUCCCUACAGCCAGGUUACAAUUAUAGCAAGAAAUAUAUUCAGGGAAAACUUUCACUUAUCUCUUCUUUAACUUAUCGUGGACAUAAAACAGCUGUUUUGCAGAUUGGACUACAAGGACACCAUUGCAGUGGCUAG
rnacentral:lncRNA from 1 species